rnacentral:rRNA from 1 species
CGAGACCUCAGGUCAGGCGGGA